UCCUGCAUAAACUCGACCAUGCGUGUCGCCUUGCCAACCGCAAUCGGCAAAACACCCACCACAUCCGGAUCCAAGGUUCCACCAUGACCAAUUUUCUUGGUUCCCAAAAUCUUACGCAGUUUAAAAACUGCAUCAUGCGAGGUCAUUCCUGCUUCCUUUUUUAAGUUAAUAAUACCGUUCAUUUUUGCUUUCUACUCCCCCUUCAGUGCUUCGAACUUCGCUUUCAUGGUUGGAUUUUUCCGGGUCAAUUUUUUAACAGAGACAUCUUCCAAUUUGUUGUUAGCUAGACGGAGUUGGUUUUCAGAUGUAGUCAGGAAUUUCUUAACCUCUUCCAUGCGUUUGAUGGCCUUGUCGAUUUCAUCAAUAGCUUUUCCAAAGUUAGUCGAAGCUGAAUUAUAGUUCUUAGCAAAAGCUAGCUUAAAGGCAUCCAAAUCUUCCUCAAAAUGCGUAAUGUCAAUAUUUUGCUCGCGAACCAAGGCCAACUCCUGCUUGUAUUUUAGGGAAUUUAGCGCCGCAUUACGUAAGAGACCAAUCAAUUGGAUAAAGAAUUGAGGACGAACAACAUACAUUUUUUCAUACUCGUGACUGACGUCAACAAUCCCUGUGUUAAAGUAGUCAUUAUCAGCCUCAAGCAUGGUCACCAAAACGGCAUACUCACAGUUCUUCUCCCGACGGUCCUUGUCCAAUUCCUUGUAAAAAUCUGCAUUCUUGUGCUUCUUCUCUGUUCCGUCCGCUUCGUUUUUCAUCUCAAACAUGAUAGAAAUGAUUUCAACUCCAUUUUCAUCACACUCACGGAAGAUAAAGUCCCCUUUAGACCCACGCGAAGAGACCUUGUUAUCCUUCUCAAAGUAAGCAUUUGGAAAGGCGAAACUACGAACCUUGUUAAACUCACUCUCUGCAUACUGUUCUAGGCUUUCCCCAAUCGCUUUUGUAGAUUGUUGAGCCUUAAAAUUCUUAUAAAACUCGACUUGUUCACUAGCUGCCUUGAGCUGGGCUUCGUAGUUUUGCUUAACAGAAGCCAAAGAUAAUUCAUUUUCCUUUUCCUGCAAAAGUAGUUGGUUUUUAACCUGAUCCCGUUCUUUUUCUAGGUCAGAAAGGGUCUUUUGUAGUUGAUUUUCAUGCUCCAAACGCAAGGUAGCCAACUGAUUUUCUAAGAGCUGUACUUCCUUGUCCUUAGCCAAUAAGGCCUGAUGGCUUGUCUGUUCAACUUCUUUCUUGGCCAAUUCUUUUUCUGUAUCAAAGUUUUGGAUUUGACUCUGUAAUUGCGCAAUUUCUUGAUCCUUCUGAGCCAGUUUAGUCUGUUGCUCAUUCAUGGCCUUUUGCUCAGCCAAGGCCAGUUCCUGCUUCAUCCUAUCGUGUAGUUCCUUAUCAAACUCUGCCGUUCUCACUUGGGACAAGAGUUCGGCAUACUGACUCUCAUUUACUGUAAAGACUUCCCCACAGUUGGGACAUUUGAUUUCGUUCAUAUCGUUCCUCUUUCUAGACUUCUUUAACCAUUAUAUCAUGCCUGAGGGAAAAUCAAAAACAGUGAGUCGAAGCCCACUGUUUAUCUUCUUUUACUUUAAAUUUUUUCCAAGGCCAAGCGCAAGUCUUCAAUCAAAUCUUCUACAUUUUCAAGACCGAUUGACAAACGAAUUUAGUUUGGUGUGACACCUGCUGCUUCUAGGUCUUUUUCUGACAAUUGACCGUGAGUGGUUGUUGCUGGAUGGACAACAAGCGAUUUAGCAUCUGCCGCGUUUGCAAGGUCAGAAAAGAUUUCUAAAUUAUCAAUGACCUUGCGUGCUUCUUCCUCGCCACCUUUGACGUGGAAGGUAAAGAUUGAACCGACACCUUUUGGCAAGUAUUUCUCAGCCAAGGCAUGAUAAGGACUAUCUGCAAGUUUUGGAUAAUUUACCUUUUCUACCUUAGGAUGGUUGACAAGAAAAUCAACAAUUGUCUCAGCAUUUUGUACAUGGCGUUCCACACGAAGUGAAGAGGUUUCAAGUCUUUGUAGCAAGAGGAAAGCAUUGAAUGGUGACAAGGCUGCACCUGUAUCACGAAGCAAUUGAACUCGAACAGCUAUAAUAAAGGCUGCUGCACCCACAUCACGAGUAUAGCUCAAAUUGUGGCAGCUUGGACCCUCGUCAACAAAUUGAGGGAAUUUCCCUGAAGCCGUCCAGUCAAAACGACCACUAUCGACAAUUAUUCCUCCAAUAGUUGUACCAUGCCCACCGAUAAACUUAGUCACAGAGUGAAUGGCAAUGUCAACGCCAUGAGAGAAGACGUUAAUCAAAUAAGGUGUUGCAAAAGUAUUGUCUGACACAAGUGGGAUUUGAUGUUUAUGAGCAAUCUCUGCCAGUUUUUCCAGGUCUGGAAUAUUAAUCAAGGGGUUACCCAAGGUUUCAAUCAAGACAAGCUUGGUAUUGUCUUUGAUAGCUGCUUCUACUUCCUCCAAAUUAUCAAUAUCGAAAAAGGUUGUUGUGAUACCAUAACGAGGAAGGGGUUCUUUCAAAAGAUUGAAGGUUCCACCGUAAAUAGUCGAAGCAGCCACUACAUGGUCACCAGCAUGGGCAAUCGCCAAAAUAGUAUAAGUCACUGCAGUCAUACCUGAUGCUGUUGCUAGCGCUUCAACACCACCUUCAAGGGCAGCUGUUGUAGGAUUGGUGAUACGAGUAUAAAUGUUCCCUGGUUUCCUCAAGGCAAACAGAUCGGCACCUUCCUACGUGUCAUCAAAAACAAAAAAUGUUGUUUGAUAAAUCGGCACUGCACGAGACUUAGUAGCUGGAGCCACAACUUGACCAGCAUGUAGUUGUAGAGUUUCAAAUUUAAAAUCACAAGUCAUAAGGUGACCUCCAUAUUAUUUUAUUAAGGAUAUUGUAGCACCUUGAGUUAUAGUUUACAAAUAUCAGUUUUCUAUAUUUUGAUAUAAGAAAUAGCUAUUACCUUAUUUUGAAAAUGAAAAAAGCACGACUCAAUCGUGCUCAUUUUCUUAAUCUACAUAAGUAUCUUCGUUUUUAUUGAGGAAGGCAUAUGGAAGACCCAUCAAGAGGCCUCCUCCGAUAAAGUUUCCGAUGAAAGUCACACCCCAGUGGCGAAGCAUAUUUCCAACACCGAAGUUGGCAAUUGAAUCCGCAGCAACACUGAAUUUCACAAUCGCGAAAGAAGCAAAGUUCGCCGCAAUGUGCUCGUUUGUUAAGAAUACAAACAUGUAAAUAGCUGACAACACAAGCCAAAGUUUGGCACCACCAUCUUUGACCAAAAUAAAUGACAGAAUCGCAAUAUUUACAAAAAUAUUUGCCAAAAUCGCCUCAAGCAAGACCAAUUCAUUUGAGCGGCCUAACUUCAUCUCAACAACACCUGAGAUGAAACUAUCGUGUGUCAGAUUCGCAUAGGCUGCCGAAUGAGCAAAGCCCCACCCUGCUAUCAAGGCUCCGAUAAGGUUGAACAAGGUACAGUAUAGUAAAAUCUCAGCUGUUUUUCUCCAAGAGAUUUUUUUUAAGAAACUACCAGCAGUCAAGAACAUCAUGUUUGAAGUGACCAACUCGGCAUUCAAAAAAACAAUGUAGGCCAAGCCCCAAGCAAAAACGAAUGGAAAGAGGAAGCGUCCACUACCUGGUGCAAUUUUAUUAAUCAAGUCAGCCCCAACUGCACCUGCAGCAGUACUGAAGGUUAAAAAUGCACCUGCGAACAUCGAACGAAUCGCAUACUUAAAUUUGCUUUGACUAUAAAGACUUUCUUUCUUAUUGCAAGCAAAUUCAAUCUUUGAGAUAAAUUCCGAAGAAACCAUAAUAAACUCCUAAAUCUUUUUUCUUGAUAAUUAUAUCACAAACUUUAGGUUUUAGGAAGCGUUUUCUGUAUUUCAUAAAAGUUUAUAGUAGAUUGAAACUAGAAUAGUACACCUCUACUUCUAAAACAUUGUUAGAAAUCGAUUUGACUGUCCUGAUCGAUUUGUCCUNGUUGAUAUUCCUGUACUAGAGUAUGUAGUGAUGGAGGGACGCAGUAGGCUAACUAAAGCAGACGAUUGGAAGAGUCUGUCUAAGCAGUGAGGUGUGAAUUGAGUCAAAUGCUUAAUUCUAUAACAUUGAGCUGUGAUGGGGAGCGAAGUUUAGUAGCGAAGUUAGUGACGUCACACUGCCAAGAAAAGCUUCUAGCGUUUAAACAUACUCUACCCGUACCGCAAACCGACACAGGUAGUCGAGGCGAGUAGCCUCAGGUGAGCGAGAGAACUCUCGUUAAGGAACUCGGCAAAAUGACCCCGUAACUUCGGGAGAAGGGGUGCUGACUUUAAGUCAGCCGCAGUGAAUAGGCCCAAGCAACUGUUUAUCAAAAACACAGCUCUCUGCUAAAUCGUAAGAUGAUGUAUAGGGGGUGACGCCUGCCCGGUGCUGGAAGGUUAAGAGGAGUGCUUAGCGUAAGCGAAGGUAUGAAUUGAAGCCCCAGUAAACGGCGGCCGUAACUAUAACGGUCCUAAGGUAGCGAAAUUCCUUGUCGGGUAAGUUCCGACCCGCACGAAAGGCGUAAUGAUUUGGGCACUGUCUCAACGAGAGACUCGGUGAAAUUUUAGUACCUGUGAAGAUGCAGGUUACCCGCGACAGGACGGAAAGACCCCAUGGAGCUUUACUGCAGUUUGAUAUUGAGUGUCUGUACCACAUGUACAGGAUAGGUAGGAGUCUAAGAGAUCGGGACGCCAGUUUCGAAGGAGACGCUGUUGGGAUACUACCCUUGUGUUAUGGCCACUCUAACCCAGAUAGGUGAUCCCUAUCGGAGACAGUGUCUGACGGGCAGUUUGACUGGGGCGGUCGCCUCCUAAAAGGUAACGGAGGCGCCCAAAGGUUCCCUCAGAAUGGUUGGAAAUCAUUCGCAGAGUGUAAAGGUAUAAGGGAGCUUGACUGCGAGAGCUACAACUCGAGCAGGGACGAAAGUCGGGCUUAGUGAUCCGGUGGUUCCGUAUGGAAGGGCCAUCGCUCAACGGAUAAAAGCUACCCUGGGGAUAACAGGCUUAUCUCCCCCAAGAGUUCACAUCGACGGGGAGGUUUGGCACCUCGAUGUCGGCUCGUCGCAUCCUGGGGCUGUAGUCGGUCCCAAGGGUUGGGCUGUUCGCCCAUUAAAGCGGCACGCGAGCUGGGUUCAGAACGUCGUGAGACAGUUCGGUCCCUAUCCGUCGCGGGCGUAGGAAAUUUGAGAGGAUCUGCUCCUAGUACGAGAGGACCAGAGUGGACUUACCGCUGGUGUACCAGUUGUCUUGCCAAAGGCAUCGCUGGGUAGCUAUGUAGGGAAGGGAUAAACGCUGAAAGCAUCUAAGUGUGAAACCCACCUCAAGAUGAGAUUUCCCAUGAUUAUAUAUCAGUAAGAGCCCUGAGAGAUGAUCAGGUAGAUAGGUUAGAAGUGGAAGUGUGGCGACACAUGUAGCGGACUAAUACUAAUAGCUCGAGGACUUAUCCAA
rnacentral:rRNA from 1 species